UACCAAGGCAUUGAUAGUAUAUGCCUUCUCUCAAGAUAUGUGGUAUUUGUGGUAUGAGGCAUAGUAACAUUGCCUUCUCUCUCAUCCUACUCUAAUAAGGCUUUAAUAUCUGGAGCUCAUAGGUGGGAGAUAAAAUAUACAUACUUACAAGACAUGUAUUGCAUAGUCAAACCAUGGAUCCAAAGUAACAAGUCAAUAAGUUUAAUCAAGAUGUGCAUGUGUGGCGAAUGAAUGGUAUAUGGUGAUGAUGGUGAUAACAAUGGUGAAAACAAUGGUGGUGAAAGUCUAAUUCUACUUUGCUCUUCUGAGGGGAUACAUACCUUCCUUGCUUUUGAAACUUUAUGAGGAGAAUGAGAUGCUCUUCUUUUUCUUUUCUAUCAGGUGGGUAUCUUGCACCCCUAAUUCUACUGUCGGACACUUGUCCAUUUUUACCUCUCGUCUCACUUUUUCUUUUCUUUCGAGGUUCCGAGCACUUGCUCCUUUUUAUUUCCUCGUAUUAUUUUCUUCUUCUUCUUUUUUUUUAGAGCACUCAUCUCUUCAGAUAAUAUAGCAAGUGGUAGUAACAAGAUAACUUGAGCAUUUAUUUCACAAGGGGAAAACAGAAAUAUUUUUGGUUAUUCUCUCCCGGAUUAGGAGUAGAAUAUUUUUAGGUGGUUCUGGAGAUGGAAAUGAGUGGAUGUAUGUGGAUGGUACUUCCGGAGUAGAAGUAGCAUAUAUGAGUGAACGUGCAAGUGAAAUCUUGAUUUAACCACAUGACAAGCUCCUAAGGGUCUACACAGCUUGACCAUACUCAAUGCUCAUAAGCAGUAAAUAGUAAAUGUGUGGCUCAAAGUCUAGCAAGCAUGUAUAUAUGGCUGUGGUAGAAAUUUAAGCUCUCAUCAUACAGGAACUCAUCAUGCAACAUUUUAAAGAUUUUCAAAGAUAAAUUCUCCAGAAUUCUAGCAUCUCUAGGAACAGAUAAACAGCAGCUCAACCUUCCUAUAUCGUAUCCGUUAACAACUUAGACUUCAGAUUAAGUUUUCAUCCCACAAGUUUAGGUCUAGGGCAAGCUUUAAAUUAUAACAGUUAUGUCUAAACUUGAGAGAGAACUUAAAAUGUGCAAAUUAGGCAGAGCAACUAUUCAUCAUAUCCA
rnacentral:lncRNA from 1 species